GCCUUCAUGAAGCUGGAAUUGCUGUAAUGGCAGGUCAGCAUACUGCCGUGAAUACGUUCCCGGGCCUUGUACACACCGCCCGUCACACCAUGAGAGUUGGGAAUACCCGAAGCCUGUGAGCUAACUUAUAGAGGCAGCAGUCGAAGGUAGAAUCAAUGAUUGGGGUGAAGUCGUAACAAGGUACC
rnacentral:rRNA from 1 species